CAAGCAAAGGAUCCUAGAUGAAAUACAGAUUGGAUUCAUAGGAAACAAAAUAAAUACUCCAAAAAGCCCACCAGUACAACCAACAUGGCAAACACAACAAUAAAGAAGAUAGAAAACCACAGUUCCAGAUGAAAGACUAUCAAGUACUCUAAGGGGCAAAUAAAGGAAGGUACUCUAAGGAAAUAUAUAUGAACCACUUGAAAGCCAUCUGUGUUUACCAGCACUGAUAUAGUGGUAUAUAUAUAUCGUAUUAUUAUUAUAUAAGCGCAUGUACUCAUGAUUCAUCGCUAAUCUUUCACUUGACUAUUUUAUCCUUCAUACUUAUUUAAAUUGUCUUUCUCUUUUCUUAUCAUUUUUUAUUUCUCCCAAAUCGUUGGUACCCUUUUUUUUUUUUGGUUUAUCUUCAAUUUUUAUUUGCUAGAGAAAAUCUUCUCUUUCCUUUUCUUUCCCUUAUUCUCUCCUUGCCCAUGAUCUGAAUUUUUUUGGUAAAUACUCUUUAUUUUAUUUUUUGUUAGAUUCGGUAAAUAAUCCAUGGUAGAGAAUAGGGGGUGAGAUGGUUUUUUCUUUAUUUGGUAAACUCAUAUUUGUUUUACCAAAAAAUAAAUAAAUAAAAUAAAAACUCAUAUUCUACCAAAAAAGUACCAUAUGUCUUCAUUCUCUUUCUUUUUUAAUCUUAAAUAAUUGAAGAAUAUAUCGUAGCCUCCAUCCAAGCAAACAACUUUGGAUUGCCGUUAACAAGGUUAUUCUUAUUUACAGGUUUUGUGCUCUUCUAUCUAUCUAUCCAUCAUCAAAGAAUUCAUGGUAACCUCUCCUGCCAAACGGCUUCGAUUCACAAUUAAUGACCGUUGUCUUUUUUACAGGUAUGGGGUUUUACAUUCCUCUAACUCUCUCUCUUCUUCUAUCAUACUCUCUAUUUUUCUUCCGUCUCCAAAACACUUUUCUCUCCCUUAUUACUCUCACAGUAAAACACAAUCCGCUGAGGAAGAGGUGGUUAUUUUCUAUUUUUUGUGUUUGAUUUUGCUUCUGUUGAAGGUUCUCUAACUUGAACCCGCAGUCAAAUAAAUCACUUGGAGAAGUUGUAUUCGAAGUUGUAAUCUAACUUUACAAAGUGUGCGUUCAAAACUAGAUCAGCCUUACUCUCUUUUUCUUUUUUUUGUGUGCAGGCGACAAGUAUCCAGGCCUUCGACCUGACUAGUCCCACAGGCCCCUACUGACCCUCAACCGGAUGGACCGGGUCAUACCAAGGUUGAAUGAGAACCAUUCACUGAUCAGCCUUACUUCAUAAUCUGCUUUGUUUUUGUUUUUGCUUUUUUUGGUUUCCCUUCCUCUUAUCCUUUAUAUCUGAAACCCUUGUUCAGCUGAUCUUUAGGGAGAAGAGGCAGUCCCAAAGAAAGUAGACUUCCUUUUGUGUUUCGCAUCCAUGGGGGCUUGCUUGAGACCUUGAAUCAAGGCAGAGAGUCCAUCUCACACAGGGGUGAACUCAAAGUAUGUUAGCAAAGAUGGAACUGAACUAAGUGGUGCAAAUAGCAAGGUUUCCUCGGUUUCCAUGCCUCUAACCCCUCGGAGUGAGGGUGAGAUUUUGGAGUCCACUAAUUUAAAGAGCUUUAGCUUUAGCAAACUCAAAAUGUCCACCAGAAACUUCUGACCUGAUAGUGUCUUGGGAGAAGGGGGCUUCAGUUUGGUCUUUAAGAGCUGGAUCGAUGAACAUGCAUUUACAGCUACCAAACCUGGCACUGGCAUGGAUAUCACUGUUAAAAAGGCUCAACCAAGAAAGUUUCCAGGGCCACAGAGAAUGGUUGAUGCAUUUCUUGAUACUGAUGUUCUUUUGGUUUCUCUGAAAUCUUAUUAGUUUGUUUCCAUUAUCAUAAAAACAUAUUUCUUUCCUUUCUUCAACUCCAUCACUUCCCUUUUUUGACAAAUUUCUUCCCGUGAUGGGUGUAGAGGAACUUAAAUAAUUUCUUCUCUGGA